rnacentral:rRNA from 1 species
CCCUUAGAGUUUGAUCCUGGCUCAGAACGAACGCUGGCGGCAGGCCUAACACAUGCAAGUCCAACGGGUGUAGCAAUACAUCAGUGGCAGACGGGUGAGUAACGCGUGGGAAUCUCCCCAGAGGUACGGAACAACUCAGGGAAACUUGAGCUAAAACCGUAUGUGCCCGAGAGGGCAAAGAUUUAUCGCCUUUGGAUGAGCCCGCGUUGGAUUAGCUAGUUGGUGGGGUAACGGCCUACCAAGGCUACGAUCCAUAGCUGAUCUGAGAGGAUGAUCAGCCACACUGGGACUGAGACACGGCCCAGACUCCUACGGGAGGCAGCAGUGGGGAAUCUUGGACAAUGGGCGCAAGCCUGAUCCAGCCAUGCCGCGUGAGUGAAGAAGGCCUUAGGGUUGUAAAGCUCUUUUACCCGGGAAGAUAAUGACGGUACCGGGAGAAUAAGCCCCGGCAAACUUCGUGCCCGCAGCCGCGGUAAUACAAGGGGGCUAGCGUUGUUCGGAUUUACUGGGCGUAAAGCGCACGUAGGCGGACUGUUAAGCCAGGGGUGAAAUCCUGGAGCUCAACUCCAGAAUUGCCUUUGAUACUGGCUUUCCACAGGCUGGAAGAGGUUAGCGGAAUUCCCCUGUAGAGGUGAAAUUCCUAGAUAUUGGGAAGAUCCCAGUGGCGAAGGCGGCUAACUGGUCCAGAUCUGACGCUGAGGUGCGCAAGCGUGCGGGAGCAAACCGGAUUAGAUACUCUUGUUUAGUCCACGCCGCAAACUAUGGGGCGCUAGCCGUCGGUGAGCUUGUUCUUCGGUGGCGCAGCUUAUCUCUUCACUCACCCCGCCUGGGGAGUACGUCCGCAGACUAAAACUCCAAUGGAAAUGA